rnacentral:lncRNA from 1 species
GCUCAGCCUCUGGGUAUUAAUCUGCUGAGCUGGUGGCCACCUAAAUACAAUCGUCCUGUUCCCCUCAUUGGUCUCUCCGGUCUCCUGAUUCCAGCCACAUUUUGGUGAGCCAGCCAGGAGUGAAGACGACAGGUUUGCUGUCUCCUUUGCCUGUGGGUCUGGGGCCCCAGCCUGGGGGAGACCCGUGACUCCAGGCAUGCUAUCAGGACAACUUCAACCCGAGGGGAGAUCAGCUCUCCCGCAACCUGGUGCCGCUCUCUGACAGCACAACAGAACCUAAGGGGCUACAGGAUGAUUCAAGGAACAGUGUGCUACAGGACCUCGCAAGAAGACCCUCACCAGAUGCAGCCCCUCUAUGUUGGACUUCCCAGCCUCCGGAAGUUAGAAAUGUGCUACAACCACUCAAGGUCUGCAAACAGAUUCCUAUUUAGAUGUUGUUGAGAGCUGAAUUUCUGGAACAAGAGAUAUAGAUUAAGACUGUUGUUACAUGUUGCCUACAUGACUUUCAAAAGCUUGAUUCCCAGUGGCGCUCUCAACAGCAGUCAUAAACAAUGUUUCGUUCUUGUCGCCCAGGCUGGAGUGUCAUUUUAACUUUUAAAACAUCCUGUUCUGUUUCAUUGCUCCCACAAAUGACUGAGAACAUGACAAAUUUGUCAUUCUGAUACUCUGAACCAGACCUCCAGUUUCAUUUAUGUUGUUGUAAAUGACAGGGUGUCUUUUGAAAAGUCUACACAAACUAUUUAGUUUUUAACCUCAAGGAACUAAAAAACAAAUGAACAAACAAACAAAAAAACUAAGCCAAAAGUUAACAAAAGGAACAAUAUAGUAGUACAGGUUACAGAAGAAAUAAUUGAAAGAGAGAAUAGAAUAACAAUGGAAAAAGAAAAUAA